GGUUUGGGGGACAAGAAGGGGGUGAGCUGGGUGCUGAGAACAUGACUUCAUACAUAACGAACAUGAGAAGAAUAAGUUUCCCUAUAAACAACAUCAGAAGAGGGAUAGGAAAAAGCCCCCAAAGAGAUAGAAAGAAUGCAGAAAUGAAAAGGAUAAUUGGCGAAAAGGCAAUCUAAAUACCAAGACCCUGGGAAAAGCGAGAAAGCCAUGCCCAUUCCAGGCCCUUGGAUGAAGCAAAAAAGCCAGCAUCUUUUGGAUCAGCAAAUGCUCAAUCGUAUUGCUACAAUGUAGCAGUAACAACGUUCUAGGUACUAUGCAUGUACUGAACAAUAUCGUUCCAUCAUCACAACGACACAUCUCUUAGAAGAAGAAAUUGCAGCUGGAAGAGGUUAAGUCAUCUUCUCAAUGUCACACAGCUGAUGAGCUAUGGGGCCGGAACUGAGACCCAGUGACGUAAAAAAGAAUUAGAGGUUACAGAGGACACGACUUUCCAUCAUAAAGUUGUUUUUCUGGACAAAUUUCAACAGCAAAGGAGAUCUUCAGUGACCCAAAAGACGUCUGCUGUCUCCAGACAUCUAGCACUAGUCAGCAUGGUUCACCUGCUAGCAACAUCAGCAUCCCUGGAAGUUUGGUGAAAAUACAGGGCACCUCAGUUUUUAUUCUAGACCCACAGAAUCUGUAUUUUUAACAAGAGCCCUGGGUGAUGGCCUUGCAAAUUAAAGUGUAAAAAGCACUGCUGUACAUGAUCCAAAUAAAUCACAGCAGAUUGCAUUCAAUGAAAGAACUCAGGGCCAACUAGAAAGCCAUUCAAACUGCAGCUGCACAGAGAGCCGUGUGGCUCGUCAUGUGCCAUCGUGUGUCAUCAUGUGCCCAGGGCCCUCAUUUCAAUAAAAGUGUAUUCAGUAGGGGGGUCUGUGGAAUGCAACUCUACCACAUAUAACUGGCAGCGUGGGGAACACAAUUCAUUGUAGGAAAAAUUCCCAUACUUGUUCUACAACUGACACCUUCAUUAGACUGUCAACUCCCAAAGGCAAGGCUGUAUUGAUUUUCUUCUUUUCAGCAGGAUCCCGGGGUCUAGCCCAGGACUGGGUGUUUAGAGGAGGUGCUUAAUAAGUUUUGAUGAAUAAACAAAUAAGUGUUUAUGACCCUUCAGGAAAUCUCUGAAUUUCAGCCAAAUCUCCGCUGAUCCCUCAUGAGUUACUACCUCCCAUUCCUUUCUCUUAAAUGACAGGGUUGAACAGGAAAAUAACCUUUAAGGUAUGUUCCAGCCUCCACAUGUUAAAGUGCAAAUUAUUCAAGAAUGAUAUUUUCAUUUAAAUAUUGACUUUGUUCUGAAGGCACCUGCAAAUAAAAACAUUAGCUAUAGAUUGUAGCAUUCCAUGGAUAACGGGCUCCAUUGCCAUGACCCGUUUUGCCAUCAGUCCCUCCAACGCUAGGAGCUGCCUGGCAUAUUUAUUGUUUCUAGAUAAAUUUUCUUUUUCUGUCUCAGGAAUGAGUCUGCCUGUUCACUGAAUGCUAUCCUUUUUUGCUUCCAAGCAUUUGCCUUCCACCAAUCCUGCCCUCUCUCCCUGCCAAGACUCCUAGUCAUCACUUCUCAUGGUAUUGUCUGAACCACCUACACCUAAACCUCUUUGUGAAGAUCCAUAACCCAAGGCCUCACCUCAGACCCACAGAAUCUGGGGGUUGGACCCAGGAAUCUACAUUUUUAACUUGUUACCAAGAUAUUCUUAUGCACAUUCAGGUCUGGUUCCAACCUCUUUGUCCAAAGACCAAUUUGGGUACUAUCUACUCUAAUAACUCCAAUCGCCCAGCAGUUCCAUUCCCUAUUCAUCAGUUCCUUCUAUGAGCUCAAUGUACUUAACAGUAAAGAAAUUCAUUUUACACCACCUUGCAAUGUUUGCUAUAUUAAUUAUUGCCUAUUAUGAUUUUGUUCAUUCAUUAUAAAGAAAACAAACAAUAAAACGACUUUGUGCCUC